rnacentral:sRNA from 1 species
CGGCGACAUGGAGAGCGGGGCCUACGGCGCGGCCAAGGCGGGCGGCUCCUUCGACCUGCGGCGCUUCCUGACGCAGCCGCAGGUGGUGGUGCGCGCCGUGUGCUUGGUCUUCGCCUUGAUCGUGUUCUCCUGCAUCUAUGGUGAGGGCUAUAGCAAUGCCCACGAGUCUAAGCAGAUGUACUGCGUGUUCAACCGCAACGAGGAUGCCUGCCGCUAUGGCAGUGCCAUCGGGGUGCUGGCCUUCCUGGCCUCGGCCUUCUUCUUGGUGGUCGACGCGUAUUUCCCCCAGAUCAGCAACGCCACUGACCGCAAGUACCUGGUCAUUGGUGACCUGCUCUUCUCAGGUAUCUGCCUGUAGCACCUCCAUUUGAUCUUGGGGGAGGCAUUAACUCUAGGGUUCCGCAGCUGGGAGGGUCUCGGCCUCUCUGGGAGGGGCAGGGAGCAGCUCACUCCUCCAGGGCAUUUUUAGGAAAGGGUUUUCAGCUAGUGUUUCUCCUUGCUUGAAUGGCACCAGCCCUGCCUGGGGUAGCUAGAAGCUGAGUGGACCUGCAGCACACCCGAACAGACGGGCUUUGCCUCUGCCCCUUUUGUCCCCUAGGCUGUCUGCUGUGACCCACCCUGCCAAGGCCCGAGUGUGGGGGACUUUGAAGGUGGAUCCCGGCCCGGCUUCCAAGUCCUCCCCUCCAUAGUGUGGAAGCUCCCCCGGGAGGUCCCUGCCCUACCUGCCCGCGUCCCCUCCCAGAGUCCUGGAAAGCCCCUCCCUUUCCAUGGAACUGACGCUUCACCCGUCCUCCCCCAGCUCUCUGGACCUUCCUGUGGUUUGUUGGUUUCUGCUUCCUCACCAACCAGUGGGCGGUCACCAAC